GGCAGAGUCGGUUUUCCGCAGCGGGGGCCUGCGCCGAAACACGGGGGAAGGACCGGACAUGAGCUGCAGAAGAUCCCGCUGGAAUAAGGUCACGCACAGCCGUGCCGGCCAUCCAUGCGAAUGAUUUCAACGCAUAAAUGUAGUACAAAGGCUCGAGCAAUAACAUAAUGAAGGAUGUAGUGCUACAGCUGCAAAUGCAUAACGGGGAGACACUAAGAUGGAAGGGACGUGGCGAGGGAAUUUCUGGGAUCAAGAUUUCAAUUUUACUGCACAAGAGGGCAUCUUUUAUGGAAGUGAUCAUGCAAUCUUGCAUGGUUUCAUGGCUUCAUUCGACAGUACGGUAUUACAAAUAAGACACGUGGAAUGUCGCGGAUCUGAAGAGAAUGGAAUAAAACCAUACUCCAGGAAUGUAACAGUGUAUUCUGUACUUUUGUAGUUUCUGUUUCUUAGCAGGAUUAGAAAUCAAGGCUUCACUGCCUUCAGACUCAUAGAGAUACAUAUUUAUCCAUUAUUAACCGGGCUAAACUUUUAAAAAUGAACACAAACUAGGAAUGCCCACUGGAUGUUGAUGAUGGCAGCGAGUUGACAUGGUUGCUCAGGUCUCGUGCUUCAAGUUAGGAUGCCACUUACCAUGCCCUCCCCCCCCCCGAGAAUCUUGAAUGCCCCUCAAUGACUUCAAUUUGCCCUAACAGCCCCAGGACAUGUAAUCGCCCUGUUGGGAAUAACUGUUUUAACACUUUA